UGGGGAAUAUUGCACAAUGGGCGCAAGCCUGAUGCAGCCAUGCCGCGUGUAUGAAGAAGGCCUUCGGGUUGUAAAGUACUUUCAGCGAGGAGGAAGGCGGUAAGGUUAAUAACCUUAUCGAUUGACGUUACUCGCAGAAGAAGCACCGGCUAACUCCGUGCCAGCAGCCGCGGUAAUACGGAGGGUGCAAGCGUUAAUCGGAAUUACUGGGCGUAAAGCGCACACAGGCGGUCUGUCAAGUCGGAUGUGAAAUCCCCGGGCUCAACCUGGGAACUGCAUUCGAAACUGGCAGGCUAGAGUCUUGUAGAGGGGGGUAGAAUUCCAGGUGUAGCGGUGAAAUGCGUAGAGAUCUGGAGGAAUACCGGUGGCGAAGGCGGCCCCCUGGACAAAGACUGACGCUCAGGUGCGAAAGCGUGGGGAGCAAACA
rnacentral:rRNA from 1 species